rnacentral:lncRNA from 1 species
CCUCACAAAGGCGGCGGAAGGUGAUCGAAUUCCGGUGAUGCGAGUUGUUCUCCGUCUAUAAAUACGCCUCGCCCGAGCUGUGCGGUAGGCAUUGAGGCAGCCAGCGCAGGGGCUUCUGCUGAGGGGGCAGGCGGAGCUUGAGGAAACCGCAGAUAAGUUUUUUUCUCUUUGAAAGAUAGAGAUUAAUACAACUACUUAAAAAAUAUAGUCAAUAGGUUACUAAGAUAUUGCUUAGCGUUAAGUUUUUAACGUAAUUUUAAUAGCUUAAGAUUUUAAGAGAAAAUAUGAAGACUUAGAAGAGUAGCAUGAGGAAGGAAAAGAUAAAAGGUUUCUAAAACAUGACGGAGGUUGAGAUGAAGCUUCUUCAUGGAGUAAAAAAUGUAUUUAAAAGAAAAUUGAGAGAAAGGACUACAGAGCCCCGAAUUAAUACCAAUAGAAGGGCAAUGCUUUUAGAUUAAAAUGAAGGUGACUUAAACAGCUUAAAGUUUAGUUUAAAAGUUGUAGGUGAUUAAAAUAAUUUGAAGGCGAUCUUUUAAAAAGAGAUUAAACCGAAGGUGAUUAAAAGACCUUGAAAUCCAUGACGCAGGGAGAAUUGCGUCAUUUAAAGCCUAGUUAACGCAUUUACUAAACGCAGACGAAAAUGGAAAGAUUAAUUGGGAGUGGUAGGAUGAAACAAUUUGGAGAAGAUAGAAGUUUGAAGUGGAAAACUGGAAGACAGAAGUACGGGAAGGCGAAGAAAAGAAUAGAGAAGAUAGGGAAAUUAGAAGAUAAAAACAUACUUUUAGAAGAAAAAAGAUAAAUUUAAACCUGAAAAGUAGGAAGCAGAAGAAAAAAGACAAGCUAGGAAACAAAAAGCUAAGGGCAAAAUGUACAAACUUAGAAGAAAAUUGGAAGAUAGAAACAAGAUAGAAAAUGAAAAUAUUGUCAAGAGUUUCAGAUAGAAAAUGAAAAACAAGCUAAGACAAGUAUUGGAGAAGUAUAGAAGAUAGAAAAAUAUAAAGCCAAAAAUUGGAUAAAAUAGCACUGAAAAAAUGAGGAAAUUAUUGGUAACCAAUUUAUUUUAAAAGCCCAUCAAUUUAAUUUCUGGUGGUGCAGAAGUUAGAAGGUAAAGCUUGAGAAGAUGAGGGUGUUUACGUAGACCAGAACCAAUUUAGAAGAAUACUUGAAGCUAGAAGGGGAAGUUGGUUAAAAAUCACAUCAAAAAGCUACUAAAAGGACUGGUGUAAUUUAAAAAAAACUAAGGCAGAAGGCUUUUGGAAGAGUUAGAAGAAUUUGGAAGGCCUUAAAUAUAGUAGCUUAGUUUGAAAAAUGUGAAGGACUUUCGUAACGGAAGUAAUUCAAGAUCAAGAGUAAUUACCAACUUAAUGUUUUUGCAUUGGACUUUGAGUUAAGAUUAUUUUUUAAAUCCUGAGGACUAGCAUUAAUUGACAGCUGACCCAGGUGCUACACAGAAGUGGAUUCAGUGAAUCUAGGAAGACAGCAGCAGACAGGAUUCCAGGAACCAGUGUUUGAUGAAGCUAGGACUGAGGAGCAAGCGAGCAAGCAGCAGUUCGUGGUGAAGAUAGGAAAAGAGUCCAGGAGCCAGUGCGAUUUGGUGAAGGAAGCUAGGAAGAAGGAAGGAGCGCUAACGAUUUGGUGGUGAAGCUAGGAAAAAGGAUUCCAGGAAGGAGCGAGUGCAAUUUGGUGAUGAAGGUAGCAGGCGGCUUGGCUUGGCAACCACACGGAGGAGGCGAGCAGGCGUUGUGCGUAGAGGAUCCUAGACCAGCAUGCCAGUGUGCCAAGGCCACAGGGAAAGCGAGUGGUUGGUAAAAAUCCGUGAGGUCGGCAAUAUGUUGUUUUUCUGGAACUUACUUAUGGUAACCUUUUAUUUAUUUUCUAAUAUAAUGGGGGAGUUUCGUACUGAGGUGUAAAGGGAUUUAUAUGGGGACGUAGGCCGAUUUCCGGGUGUUGUAGGUUUCUCUUUUUCAGGCUUAUACUCAUGAAUCUUGUCUGAAGCUUUUGAGGGCAGACUGCCAAGUCCUGGAGAAAUAGUAGAUGGCAAGUUUGUGGGUUUUUUUUUUUUACACGAAUUUGAGGAAAACCAAAUGAAUUUGAUAGCCAAAUUGAGACAAUUUCAGCAAAUCUGUAAGCAGUUUGUAUGUUUAGUUGGGGUAAUGAAGUAUUUCAGUUUUGUGAAUAGAUGACCUGUUUUUACUUCCUCACCCUGAAUUCGUUUUGUAAAUGUAGAGUUUGGAUGUGUAACUGAGGCGGGGGGGAGUUUUCAGUAUUUUUUUUUGUGGGGGUGGGGGCAAAAUAUGUUUUCAGUUCUUUUUCCCUUAGGUCUGUCUAGAAUCCUAAAGGCAAAUGACUCAAGGUGUAACAGAAAACAAGAAAAUCCAAUAUCAGGAUAAUCAGACCACCACAGGUUUACAGUUUAUAGAAACUAGAGCAGUUCUCACGUUGAGGUCUGUGGAAGAGAUGUCCAUUGGAGAAAUGGCUGGUAGUUACUCUUUUUUCCCCCCACCCCCUUAAUCAGACUUUAAAAGUGCUUAACCCCUUAAACUUGUUAUUUUUUACUUGAAGCAUUUUGGGAUGGUCUUAACAGGGAAGAGAGAGGGUGGGGGAGAAAAUGUUUUUUUCUAAGAUUUUCCACAGAUGCUAUAGUACUAUUGACAAACUGGGUUAGAGAAGGAGUGUACCGCUGUGCUGUUGGCACGAACACCUUCAGGGACUGGAGCUGCUUUUAUCCUUGGAAGAGUAUUCCCAGUUGAAGCUGAAAAGUACAGCACAGUGCAGCUUUGGUUCAUAUUCAGUCAUCUCAGGAGAACUUCAGAAGAGCUUGAGUAGGCCAAAUGUUGAAGUUAAGUUUUCCAAUAAUGUGACUUCUUAAAAGUUUUAUUAAAGGGGAGGGGCAAAUAUUGGCAAUUAGUUGGCAGUGGCCUGUUACGGUUGGGAUUGGUGGGGUGGGUUUAGGUAAUUGUUUAGUUUAUGAUUGCAGAUAAACUCAUGCCAGAGAACUUAAAGUCUUAGAAUGGAAAAAGUAAAGAAAUAUCAACUUCCAAGUUGGCAAGUAACUCCCAAUGAUUUAGUUUUUUUCCCCCCAGUUUGAAUUGGGAAGCUGGGGGAAGUUAAAUAUGAGCCACUGGGUGUACCAGUGCAUUAAUUUGGGCAAGGAAAGUGUCAUAAUUUGAUACUGUAUCUGUUUUCCUUCAAAGUAUAGAGCUUUUGGGGAAGGAAAGUAUUGAACUGGGGGUUGGUCUGGCCUACUGGGCUGACAUUAACUACAAUUAUGGGAAAUGCAAAAGUUGUUUGGAUAUGGUAGUGUGUGGUUCUCUUUUGGAAUUUUUUUCAGGUGAUUUAAUAAUAAUUUAAAACUACUAUAGAAACUGCAGAGCAAAGGAAGUGGCUUAAUGAUCCUGAAGGGAUUUCUUCUGAUGGUAGCUUUUGUAUUAUCAAGUAAGAUUCUAUUUUCAGUUGUGUGUAAGCAAGUUUUUUUUUAGUGUAGGAGAAAUACUUUUCCAUUGUUUAACUGCAAAACAAGAUGUUAAGGUAUGCUUCAAAAAUUUUGUAAAUUGUUUAUUUUAAACUUAUCUGUUUGUAAAUUGUAACUGAUUAAGAAUUGUGAUAGUUCAGCUUGAAUGUCUCUUAGAGGGUGGGCUUUUGUUGAUGAGGGAGGGGAAACUUUUUUUUUUUCUAUAGACUUUUUUCAGAUAACAUCUUCUGAGUCAUAACCAGCCUGGCAGUAUGAUGGCCUAGAUGCAGAGAAAACAGCUCCUUGGUGAAUUGAUAAGUAAAGGCAGAAAAGAUUAUAUGUCAUACCUCCAUUGGGGAAUAAGCAUAACCCUGAGAUUCUUACUACUGAUGAGAACAUUAUCUGCAUAUGCCAAAAAAUUUUAAGCAAAUGAAAGCUACCAAUUUAAAGUUACGGAAUCUACCAUUUUAAAGUUAAUUGCUUGUCAAGCUAUAACCACAAAAAUAAUGAAUUGAUGAGAAAUACAAUGAAGAGGCAAUGUCCAUCUCAAAAUACUGCUUUUACAAAAGCAGAAUAAAAGCGAAAAGAAAUGAAAAUGUUACACUACAUUAAUCCUGGAAUAAAAGAAGCCGAAAUAAAUGAGAGAUGAGUUGGGAUCAAGUGGAUUGAGGAGGCUGUGCUGUGUGCCAAUGUUUCGUUUGCCUCAGACAGGUAUCUCUUCGUUAUCAGAAGAGUUGCUUCAUUUCAUCUGGGAGCAGAAAACAGCAGGCAGCUGUUAACAGAUAAGUUUAACUUGCAUCUGCAGUAUUGCAUGUUAGGGAUAAGUGCUUAUUUUUAAGAGCUGUGGAGUUCUUAAAUAUCAACCAUGGCACUUUCUCCUGACCCCUUCCCUAGGGGAUUUCAGGAUUGAGAAAUUUUUCCAUCGAGCCUUUUUAAAAUUGUAGGACUUGUUCCUGUGGGCUUCAGUGAUGGGAUAGUACACUUCACUCAGAGGCAUUUGCAUCUUUAAAUAAUUUCUUAAAAGCCUCUAAAGUGAUCAGUGCCUUGAUGCCAACUAAGGAAAUUUGUUUAGCAUUGAAUCUCUGAAGGCUCUAUGAAAGGAAUAGCAUGAUGUGCUGUUAGAAUCAGAUGUUACUGCUAAAAUUUACAUGUUGUGAUGUAAAUUGUGUAGAAAACCAUUAAAUCAUUCAAAAUAAUAAACUAUUUUUAUUAGAGAAUGUAUACUUUUAGAAAGCUGUCUCCUUAUUUAAAUAAAAUAGUGUUUGUCUGUAGUUCAGUGUUGGGGCAAUCUUGGGGGGGAUUCUUCUCUAAUCUUUCAGAAACUUUGUCUGCGAACACUCUUUAAUGGACCAGAUCAGGAUUUGAGCGGAAGAACGAAUGUAACUUUAAGAGGCAUUUCAUCCUUCAUGAAGCCAUUCAGGAUUUUGAAUUGCAUAUGAGUGCUUGGCUCUUCCUUCUGUUCUAGUGAGUGUAUGAGACCUUGCAGUGAGUUUAUCAGCAUACUCAAAAUUUUUUUCCUGGAAUUUGGAGGGAUGGGAGGAGGGGGUGGGGCUUACUUGUUGUAGCUUUUUUUUUUUUUACAGACUUCACAGAGAAUGCAGUUGUCUUGACUUCAGGUCUGUCUGUUCUGUUGGCAAGUAAAUGCAGUACUGUUCUGAUCCCGCUGCUAUUAGAAUGCAUUGUGAAACGACUGGAGUAUGAUUAAAAGUUGUGUUCCCCAAUGCUUGGAGUAGUGAUUGUUGAAGGAAAAAAUCCAGCUGAGUGAUAAAGGCUGAGUGUUGAGGAAAUUUCUGCAGUUUUAAGCAGUCGUAUUUGUGAUUGAAGCUGAGUACAUUUUGCUGGUGUAUUUUUAGGUAAAAUGCUUUUUGUUCAUUUCUGGUGGUGGGAGGGGACUGAAGCCUUUAGUCUUUUCCAGAUGCAACCUUAAAAUCAGUGACAAGAAACAUUCCAAACAAGCAACAGUCUUCAAGAAAUUAAACUGGCAAGUGGAAAUGUUUAAACAGUUCAGUGAUCUUUAGUGCAUUGUUUAUGUGUGGGUUUCUCUCUCCCCUCCCUUGGUCUUAAUUCUUACAUGCAGGAACACUCAGCAGACACACGUAUGCGAAGGGCCAGAGAAGCCAGACCCAGUAAGAAAAAAUAGCCUAUUUACUUUAAAUAAACCAAACAUUCCAUUUUAAAUGUGGGGAUUGGGAACCACUAGUUCUUUCAGAUGGUAUUCUUCAGACUAUAGAAGGAGCUUCCAGUUGAAUUCACCAGUGGACAAAAUGAGGAAAACAGGUGAACAAGCUUUUUCUGUAUUUACAUACAAAGUCAGAUCAGUUAUGGGACAAUAGUAUUGAAUAGAUUUCAGCUUUAUGCUGGAGUAACUGGCAUGUGAGCAAACUGUGUUGGCGUGGGGGUGGAGGGGUGAGGUGGGCGCUAAGCCUUUUUUUAAGAUUUUUCAGGUACCCCUCACUAAAGGCACCGAAGGCUUAAAGUAGGACAACCAUGGAGCCUUCCUGUGGCAGGAGAGACAACAAAGCGCUAUUAUCCUAAGGUCAAGAGAAGUGUCAGCCUCACCUGAUUUUUAUUAGUAAUGAGGACUUGCCUCAACUCCCUCUUUCUGGAGUGAAGCAUCCGAAGGAAUGCUUGAAGUACCCCUGGGCUUCUCUUAACAUUUAAGCAAGCUGUUUUUAUAGCAGCUCUUAAUAAUAAAGCCCAAAUCUCAAGCGGUGCUUGAAGGGGAGGGAAAGGGGGAAAGCGGGCAACCACUUUUCCCUAGCUUUUCCAGAAGCCUGUUAAAAGCAAGGUCUCCCCACAAGCAACUUCUCUGCCACAUCGCCACCCCGUGCCUUUUGAUCUAGCACAGACCCUUCACCCCUCACCUCGAUGCAGCCAGUAGCUUGGAUCCUUGUGGGCAUGAUCCAUAAUCGGUUUCAAGGUAACGAUGGUGUCGAGGUCUUUGGUGGGUUGAACUAUGUUAGAAAAGGCCAUUAAUUUGCCUGCAAAUUGUUAACAGAAGGGUAUUAAAACCACAGCUAAGUAGCUCUAUUAUAAUACUUAUCCAGUGACUAAAACCAACUUAAACCAGUAAGUGGAGAAAUAACAUGUUCAAGAACUGUAAUGCUGGGUGGGAACAUGUAACUUGUAGACUGGAGAAGAUAGGCAUUUGAGUGGCUGAGAGGGCUUUUGGGUGGGAAUGCAAAAAUUCUCUGCUAAGACUUUUUCAGGUGAACAUAACAGACUUGGCCAAGCUAGCAUCUUAGCGGAAGCUGAUCUCCAAUGCUCUUCAGUAGGGUCAUGAAGGUUUUUCUUUUCCUGAGAAAACAACACGUAUUGUUUUCUCAGGUUUUGCUUUUUGGCCUUUUUCUAGCUUAAAAAAAAAAAAAGCAAAAGAUGCUGGUGGUUGGCACUCCUGGUUUCCAGGACGGGGUUCAAAUCCCUGCGGCGUCUUUGCUUUGACUACUAAUCUGUCUUCAGGACUCUUUCUGUAUUUCUCCUUUUCUCUGCAGGUGCUAGUUCUUGGAGUUUUGGGGAGGUGGGAGGUAACAGCACAAUAUCUUUGAACUAUAUACAUCCUUGAUGUAUAAUUUGUCAGGAGCUUGACUUGAUUGUAUAUUCAUAUUUACACGAGAACCUAAUAUAACUGCCUUGUCUUUUUCAGGUAAUAGCCUGCAGCUGGUGUUUUGAGAAGCCCUACUGCUGAAAACUUAACAAUUUUGUGUAAUAAAAAUGGAGAAGCUCUA